rnacentral:misc_RNA from 1 species
GCAAACUUGGUCAUUUAGAGGAAGUAAAAGUCGUAACAAGGUUUCCGUAGGUGAACCUGCGGAAGGAUCAUUCGUAAAUCACGUGUUAAUGGCACGGGAAAUCCAUUCCACCUUCUGUGCAGUGUCGGGGAAGGCGUGACUGCUUUGUGGCGCGUUUUGUGACGCGUUGUUUGCUCUCACCAACCUUUCUUACCAUUCACUCUAGUUUUCUACAAUUUCUGUCUACAAAAUCUUCGAGUAACAACUCUGAAAAUACAACUUUCAACAACGGAUCUCUUGGCUCUCGCAUCGAUGAAGAACGCAGC